rnacentral:rRNA from 1 species
GACGAACGCUGGCGGCGUGCUUAACACAUGCAAGUCGAACGAAGCUUGAUUACGGAUUCUUCGGAUGAAGUAUGAUAUGACUGAGUGGCGGACGGGUGAGUAACGCGUGAGUAACCUGCCCUUCAGAGGGGGAUAGCGUUUGGAAACGAACGGUAAUACCGCAUCAUGUAUUUUGACCGCAUGAUCGAAAUACCAAAGAUUUAUCGCUGAAGGAUGGACUCGCGUCUGAUUAGGUAGUUGGGGGGGUAACGGCCUACCAAGCCGACGAUCAGUAGCCGGACUGCGAGGUUGAUCGGCCACAUUGGGACUGAGGCACGGCCCGGACUCCUACGGGAGGCAGCAGUGGGGAAUAUUGCCCAAUGGGCGCAAGCCUGAUGCAGCAACGCCGCGUGAAGGAAGACGGUUUUCGGAUUGUAAACUUCUGUUCUUAGUGAAGAAUAAUGACGGUAGCUAAGGAGCAAGCCACGGCUAACUACGUG